rnacentral:rRNA from 1 species
UGGUUAGCGGCGGACGGGUGAGUAACACGUAGGCAACCUGCCCUCAAGCUUGGGACAACUACCGGAAACGGUAGCUAAUACCGAAUACUUGCUUCCUUCGCCUGAAGGGAGCUGGAAAGACGGAGCAAUCUGUCACUUGAGGAUGGGCCUGCGGCGCAUUAGCUAGUUGGUGAGGUAACGGCUCACCAAGGCGACGAUGCGUAGCCGACCUGAGAGGGUGAUCGGCCACACUGGGACUGAGACACGGCCCAGACUCCUACGGGAGGCAGCAGUAGGGAAUCUUCCGCAAUGGGCGAAAGCCUGACGGAGCAAUGCCGCGUGAGUGAUGAAGGUUUUCGGAUCGUAAAGCUCUGUUGCCAGGGAAGAACGUCCUUGAGAGUAACUGCUCAAGGAGUGACGGUACCUGAGAAGAAAGCCCCGGCUAACUACGUGCCAGCAGCCGCGGUAAUACGUAGGGGGCAAGCGUUGUCCGGAAUUAUUGGGCGUAAAGCGCGCGCAGGCGGUCAUUUAAGUCUGGUGUUUAAUCCCGGGGCUCAACCCCGGAUCGCACUGGAAACUGGAUGACUUGAGUG